rnacentral:lncRNA from 1 species
UAGAGUAAUUCCACUUCUUUCUACCAGUUCUGCAGUUUGGCAGUGGAAUCUGAUUGGGACAAAAUUUGGCUGUGGUGGUCCAUCUAGAAAACCAUGCAUUUACUUUGGGAAGGCCUUUGCAAGGAAUGUCUAUGCUGUCAUCUAACUCUAUACUGCAGUAUGCGAUUUUUGUCUCAUAUCUAUGACAUGCCUUUUUCAGUGGCACCUUUAAUGAGGAGAUACUCCGGUAUGGUUUGACAGCUAUAAGCCAAACUAAUUACACAAUCUAAGAUCUUAAGUUUCUUUAAACAUCCUGGAUUGACAAGAGCAUGUUGUUUAAAAUUCAUCCUAAGAGCAAAAUGUGGAAGACCCAAAUUUGCCAGGGC